rnacentral:rRNA from 1 species
UCUGGUAAUGAUGGCAGAGAGGUCACACCCGUUCCCAUACCGAACACGGAAGUUAAGCUCUCUAGCGCCGAUGGUAGUUGGGGCC